GACGAACGCUGGCGGCGUGCUUAACACAUGCAAGUCGAACGGAAAGGCCCUGCUUUUGUGGGGUGCUCGAGUGGCGAACGGGUGAGUAACACGUGAGUAAUCUGCCCUUGACUUUGGGAUAACUUCAGGAAACUGGGGUUAAUACCGGAUAGGAGCUCCUGCUGCAUGGUGGGGGUUGGAAAGUUUCGGCGGUCGGGGUUGGACUCGCGGCUUAUCAGUUUGUUGGUGGGGUAGUGGCUUACCAAGGCUUUGACGGGUCGCCGGCCUGAGAGGGUGACCGGCCACAUUGGGACUGAGAUACGGCCCAGACUCCUACGGGGGGCAGCAGUGGGGAAUAUUGCACAAUGGGCGGAAGCCUGAUGCAGCAACGCCGCGUGCGGGAUGACGGCCUUCGGGUUGUAAACCGCUUUCGCCUGUGACGAAGCGUGAGUGACGGUAAUGAGUAAAGAAGCACCGGCUAACUACGUG
rnacentral:rRNA from 1 species